UCAUCCUUAUCCGGUCCAAAGAAAGAAGAAAAAUGGGGCUCUUGCUUUGACUUAGUCUAAAUCCUAUCUAAUGGGUUGAUCAAGUCAAGAAAGAUUUGGAUUUAACCAUGUGCUAGCAUGGUGCACUUAAACCCAACAAGAUUUCUCAAAUUCUAAUCCAAUUGAAAUUUCAUAAGCACAAUUGAUCAAUCCAAGAUCUAAUUCUUUUAUUGUGUAACCCCAU
rnacentral:lncRNA from 1 species